AAUGGAGGUAACUCUGAUCCAGCAAUUCUGUGUGCACGACGAAGGUCUUCGGAUUGUAAAGUGCUUUAAGUUGGGAAGAAAAAAAUGACGGUACCAACAGAAUAAGCGACGGCUAAAUACGUGCCAGCAGCCGCGGUAAUACGUAUGUCGCAAGCGUUAUCCGGAAUUAUUGGGCAUAAAGGGCAUCUAGGCGGGGUUUCAAGUCGACGGUGAAAACUAGUGGCUCAACCAUUAGCUUGCCGACGAAACUGAAAUUCUAGAGUAUUGGAAAGGUGGGCGGAACUACAUGAGUAGAGGUGAAAUUCGUAGAUAUAUGUAGGAAUGCCGAUGACGAAGGUAGCUCACUGGACAAAAACUGACGCUGAAGUGCGAAAGCUAGGGGAGCAAA
rnacentral:rRNA from 1 species